GUCGAUUAUUUUGAUAUAAAGCAACUUUUUUAUACAGAUCAAUAUCAAUACGGCGCGGCGCCUUCACUAAUUUGGUGCAUUAGCAUCGAAGUCCUAUAAUUGAAUUUUGAAAAUAAUAAUGUUUUCAUUUAGCACUGCUGUAAACAGCUUGGGUCAGAGUGGGCCACCUUGUCUGACCCCCCUCUCUAUCAGGAAAGCAUCUCCCGUAAAUUCCAGCCGGUUACAAGUUUUACUUUGGCCGUAUAUAUUUUUGAUUGUGUUUACAUCAUGCCGCCUCGUCGAAAGUGCUGGGUCUGGUACUCACAUUGGUAGUAAUAACAUUAUUAGCCCAGACUCACAUAUUGGGAACGAUUGUAAUAUUGGAAGCAACAAUAUAAUUAACAAAAAAUCGUAUAUUGGGAACGAUUGUACUAUUGGGAACAAUGUAGUUAUAGAAAAUUCGCAUAUUGGAGACGGUUGUAAAAUUGCGAAUAACGAAGUUAUCACAAAUUCGCAUAUUGGGAGCGCUUGUAAUAUUGCUAACAACGAGGCCAUCACAAAUUCGUAUAUUGGGAACGGUUGUAAUAUUGAAAACAAUGUGAUUAUCUCAAAUUCAAAUAUUGGGAACUAUUGUAGUAUUGGAAACAAUGUAAAUGUCGUGGGAAGCCGAAUUUUGAAUAAUGUUAAUAUUAUGGUCAAUAGCAAGGUUAUUAACUCCUUUGUUGGCGAUAACGUUGUCAUUCCUGUAAAUUCUAUAGUGGUAAAUCGCUCGCAAUAAUGCUGUGAGAUUAAAUCUUGAAUUUGUGAGGCCCUGGGCUAAUC